UUCAUACCAAACCCUAAUUAAGUGCUUCUUAAACCUAAGUCUUCCUAAAAACUUGAAUUCACCUUGUGCUCUUUUACUGAUAACAGCGUCGAGAAGAGUGCUUGCCUCCAUAGGCCGCUUCCUCCAUCGCCUACUGGAAUCCCGUUGUCCCUCUUCUCGUAGUCUUCUGGUUCUUCACUACCCAUCCUUUCUGAAACUAUUAGGUUCUUUUAUCGUGCGGAAGUUGCUGAUGAAGCUCCAGUCUCGGUUCUGACUGUUCCAGCAAUCCUCUUUCACACUAACUUCUUGCAAAAUUUAGUGGAAGACACUACACUCUCAUCUCAAUUAUGGCUAAUCUUGAAUCAAACCAUAGUCUACCAGACUAUGCGCUAUAAGUGAACUCAUGCGGGUGAAUUGUGCAAGUAUGCUCAAUAACCCAAUCAACUAAUUGGUUAAACUACAAUACUUAUUACUAAGCGAGAAUAAUUUCUCUAACUCUAGAAAACGUUGUUGCGUCUUGCUGUGCUUUCUUUCUAUCUCUACACUUAUUCAAAAAAUUUAGUUGGGUGUCAUAACUUGGAACUCGGUGGAUUAUCGAUUUUUUGGAUGUCUUAAAUCACCGUGAUCUGCCUUUUCCAACUCCUCCAUUUGCGUUGAUCCUUGGCCAAGGGACGUAACCACACAUAUGCCGUACAUCAAUCAAAUGCAAGGUAACUCUUUUAACAAAAGCGACCAACUAUGACGUCGCUUUGUCAUCGACCUCCAGACUAGAUCUGAACAGCCAAAUACCAC
rnacentral:lncRNA from 1 species